GCUUUUGCUGUACCGGGGACCACGCGUCUCAUCCAUGGCUUCCGCGGACUCGCGCCGGGUGGCAGAUGGCGGCGGUGCCGGGGGCACCUUCCAGCCCUACCUAGACACCUUGCGGCAGGAGCUGCAGCAGACGGACCCAACGCUGUUGUCAGUAGUGGUGGCGGUUCUUGCGGUGCUGCUGACGCUAGUCUUCUGGAAGUUAAUCCGGAGCAGAAGGAGCAGUCAGAGAGCUGUUCUUCUUGUUGGCCUUUGUGAUUCCGGGAAAACGUUGCUCUUUGUCAGGUUGUUAACAGGCCUUUAUAGAGACACUCAGACGUCCAUUACUGACAGCUGUGCUGUAUACAGAGUCAACAAUAACAGGGGCAAUAGUCUGACCUUGAUUGACCUUCCCGGCCAUGAGAGUUUGAGGCUUCAGUUCUUAGAGCGGUUUAAGUCUUCAGCCAGGGCUAUUGUGUUUGUUGUGGAUAGUGCAGCAUUCCAGCGAGAGGUGAAAGAUGUGGCUGAGUUUCUGUAUCAAGUCCUCAUUGACAGUAUGGGUCUGAAGAAUACACCAUCAUUCUUAAUAGCCUGCAAUAAGCAAGAUAUUGCAAUGGCAAAAUCAGCAAAGUUAAUUCAACAGCAGCUGGAGAAAGAACUCAACACCUUACGAGUUACCCGUUCUGCUGCCCCCAGCACACUGGACAGUUCCAGCACUGCCCCUGCUCAGCUGGGGAAGAAAGGCAAAGAGUUUGAAUUCUCACAGUUGCCCCUCAAAGUGGAGUUCCUGGAGUGCAGUGCCAAGGGUGGAAGAGGGGACGUGGGCUCUGCUGACAUCCAGGACUUGGAGAAAUGGCUGGCUAAAAUUGCCUGAGAGGCAGCUCUAAAGCACAAGACCUGGAUGUGUGACACACAGUUUUGGAAAAAGAGAUACUGAAACUGGUCUGGCCAUUGCUCCCCUCAGACCUGGGAACAUGACUGAAUGUUUAAGGAUGACAAGAAGAGAGCAGCGAUAGAUAGCAAGGAGGCCUCUGACCAAGGGAAACUGCUGCCAACAGCUACCAAGCCAACUAGCCUUGGAUCACACAACUGCAGCCAUGGUGCUCAUGAUUCUGAUGUCACACCUUCAUGUUGAUGUAUGUAUGAUCACCCAGCAAGUUAGGAGUGAUCAGAACCAAUGUGUUUCCACUUGUAAAUAGGCUGUUUGCUUUUUCCAUCUUACACUCAACUUUCCUGAUGCCUGCAGAACAGGAGCUUUGUUGAUAAGCUUUUAAGAUUCACCCCCUUCACUCCCACCAUCCCCAAAAAAGAAGGCCAAGAGGAUCCUGCUAAUCUGCCAGGUCACGUCUAGUCUUUGGGGAGAGGGACUGAAUUGCUCAAUUGAGAACAUUUCCUCAAAGGAAUCCUCCAAUUUGCCCUCUGCUAACCCAUCUGGAUUCAGCAAAGAUGCAAUGCUCUUGCUGGGGUGCUGAGGCAAUGCCAUGACAUCUUCUUCAAGAGCACCUAACAGUUUAUUAUGGAACCUUAACUCUGUGCCAAUUCUACCUGCAAGCAAGGGGACAGGGAUGGUGCCUGCUCAAGACAAAAAUCAGGGAACCAACAACUUCUGAAAAAGAGGUCUGGCUGCCUUUCCACACCCCAGGAAGGGAGGGGCGGAAACCGCACGUGCCGAAGGGAGCGCCAUGGAACCACUGAGAUGGGAGGAUGGGAGGAAGCCACCCUCAGCCUCAGAGGCCAAGGGGCUGGGGAGAACCCAAACUCAAAGAGAGGAUGUUGUGUGCAUGCUAGGAAAGGCAGGACUCACUAAGGCCAUGUCAAACCAAAUGCUAUCUUUUACUGCUCCUCUAGGCCAGGAUGGAAACACAGUCCACGGUGCCUUGGAUGUGUGUGCCCCUGAGAAGGGAACUGAGUUUCUACUGUUUUAUGGGAUGUUUUUUUAAAAAAGCUAAUCUUUAGUGCCAAGAAAAUAAAAAUCUACCAUACGUUCAUUCACUGAGACCCAGUGCAGAUUCCUGUAAAUGGGGCGGUCUCAGAGGCCACAGGUGAUGGCCCCCGCUGCCAACCAGGCAGGACACUGUCAUGUGGACUCCUGUAAAUUCUCUCGAGGUAAGUAAGCACUCUUCCAACAAGCACCACUUGGGGGUGUGCCCAUGGUGGGGGGACACUGGCCCACACAGGCAUGCACACCCGUGCAUAUAAAGUACAUAGAGAAAUGGUGGAGAUAUUCCCGUGGGCUAUGUUUGCCUGUAGUUUAACACAACUAUGCAUUAUUUUAUUGAUGGCAAGACAAUCACAAGUUAUUUGACAAUAUUAAGUAUUUCUUAUUUCAACACGUUGCAGUACUUUUGAAUUUCCAAAACUUAUCACAAUGCAAGUUCCAACUUGAGAGCAGGAGAAACAAGAAUAUACAUUGAGCACAUGUAUCUCCGUGAGGAUGUGUUUGUGGAAGGUGUAUACACAAGUCUAUCUCUAUAUAUAAUUAUGUACACACAUAUAAAAACUAAACACAUGACAUCUGAAACACGUUCAAACAUUGGUCCUUGCCUUCUGCAAGAGGUGCUCAGUGGGAUCCUGCUUCCUCUCUUCUUCACCUGAAGAUAAAUUCCUUGCUAGAGAUGAGCUCUGGCAUACAGCCUCCUAGGCAGAGGGUGUGUGGCAGGCCCACUGCACAAAUAUCAGUCCUGCCAGAUUCUGCUGCACUUACUGCCUGCCAUUUCAGAUUAAUUUCUGAGAAGUUUCAAAAUUCAUUCCAACGACCUUGUGGAGUUCAGCCCACCAUACCCCAGAUGGUCAUUCAUCCCAUCUAUGACAUGCCCAGCAGCAGCCUGGAGGGAGAGCCAAUGACAGCAGGGAGGGUGGGGUUUACAUUUUGGCCAGACUCACUGCCCAUUGCACCUGGCUCUGUGCAGGCUCAGGGCAGUGAGUCUGAGUCUAUUUGGAAUGCUGGCCAAGUAGGUUAUAUCACUUAGUGGGAAGAGAGAGUUCUCUUCAGAGACUUUGCAGAUUCUCAGGACUAAGCCAUUCUCAGGAAUGAAUCAAAAAUGGAAGAGAUGGCUCUCUGGGGGCAAGCAGCCUUCUGGAGACCCCACCUGAACCACAUCCUCAGGUGACCACAGCGCAGCCACAGUAGCCACAAAGAUAUGUCCACAAAGACUUCAACUGCGCCAUGCCACUGGGGUGAAAACAUAGCAACAAAUCAGCUUUUCCAGAAAGCACUCAACAAUAUUAGCAGCUGAGGCUCUAAGAACAUGGAUCUUUCAAGGUGGUGGUUCUGCAGACAACACCCCCCCCCCCCCCCGCCUCCCCAUCACAGAGGAUCAACUCCAGGUGGUCCAGCUUCCCUGACAUCCAGGAGGAAGGCUUCAGGAUGGCACACUGCCCAACAUCACACACUGAGUUUCUUAGACUUGGCCCAGGCAUGUGUACUGACUGCUGGGUGGGCUGGUUAAAAUAUUUUCAGAAGUACACAUGGCACCCCAGUCUAUAAACCACGCACCACGCAGCUGCAAUUGCCAACAGCACCUCGUCCUUCUGAUGGCCUCUUGCUCUGCCAGUCCCUGAGGGCACAGAGAACACAAGGUUGCCUGUACCCUCAACCCCCUUCAAGGCUUUUCAGGGAAAGAGAAGGAGAGGUGGGAGCAGUUCCUCUGGGGGCUGCUGCCGGGCUGCCUAGAGCCCACAGACCUUGGUCUCAGCUCCACACGAGGUUGACGACCCACUCUGGCCAUGGAAAGACAAGAGUCAGAGCUACCUUUUCAGAGGCUGAUGUGUUCAACCAAUGUUUGAUUUAACUGGAGUAGGGCCUAGAGAGUGGGGCCAGAUGGCCCCAGACUGAAGCCUAAUUAAUUUGCUCAGUUAAUUGUUUUAAUUUAUUGGGCUGGGGAUAGGAGGAAGGCAGAGGUGAUGAAUGGUUCAAAGAGAACAGGAAGGAGGAGGUGUGUGGAAAAGGUUCUCUAUAAGUUUACAAAUAUACAAAAACAAAAAGCACAUCUUUCAAAUAAAAAUGACUACAUUUUUAUCUGGCAAAAAAUUGUAUACACAUGAUUUAAAUUUUUUUUAAAUUUUAACAGUUUUUGGCAAUCUUAAUAAAGUACAAUAUAUUACAACCAAA